rnacentral:rRNA from 1 species
AGAGUUUGAUCAUGGCUCAGGACGAACGCUGGCGGCGUGCUAAUACAUGCAAGUCGAGCGAACAGAUGAGGAGCUUGCUCCUCUGAUGUUAGCGGCGGACGGGUGAGUAACACGUAGGCAACCUGCCUCAUAGACUGGGACAACUUCGGGAAACCGGGGCUAAUACCGGAUAAUACUUUUCUUCGCAUGAAGGAAAAUUAAAAGUUGGCGUAAGCUAACACUAUGAGAUGGGCCUGCGGCGCAUUAGCUAGUUGGUAAGGUAACGGCUUACCAAGGCGACGAUGCGUAGCCGACCUGGGAGGGUGAUCGGCCACACUGGGACUGAGACACGGCCCAGACUCCUACGGGAGGCAGCAGUAGGGAAUCUUCCGCAAUGGACGCAAGUCUGACGGAGCAACGCCGCGUGAACGAUGAAGGCCUUCGGGUCGUAAAGUUCUGUUGUUAGGGAAGAACAAGUAUUGUUCGAAUAGGGCAGUACCUUGACGGUACCUAACCAGAAAGCCACGGCUAACUACGUGCCAGCAGCCGCGGUAAUACGUAGGUGGCAAGCGUUGUCCGGAAUUAUUGGGCGUAAAGCGCGCGCAGGCGGUCUUUUAAGUCUGAUGUGAAAGCCCCCGGCUCAACCGGGGAGGGUCAUUGGAAACUGGGAGACUUGAGUGCAGAAGAGGAGAGUGGAAUUCCAUGCGUAGCGGUGAAAUGCGUAGAGAUAUGGAGGAGCACCAGUGGCGAAGGCGACUCUCUGGUCUGCAACUGACGCUGAGGCGCGAAAGCGUGGGGAGCAAACAGGAUUAGAUACCCUGGUAGUCCACGCCGUAAACGAUGAGUGCUAGGUGUUAGGGGGUCCAACCCUUAGUGCCGAAGUAAACACAUUAAGCACUCCGCCUGGGGAGUACGGCCGCAAGGCUGAAACUCAAAUGAAUUGACGG